rnacentral:tRNA from 1 species
AAGGCUUUAGCUUAAUUAAAGUGUCUGAGUUGCAUUCAGGUGAUGUAAGUGAGAAUUUUACAGGUCUUG